CACUAAUUCAAAUUUCAAAUUUCCCCAUCAUCCUUUCUCCACAAGGACCCCACUUUUCCCUAAUCAGCAUUAAUUUUUAUCUCUCUCUUUACUCAUCCAAUUUAUUUUUUCCUUUCCCCAAUCUCUAUCUCUCACGUGGGUCCCACUCCCACAAUUAGAUAUUAUUUUCUUUUCUUUCUCUCCCUUCAUUCACUCCCUCAACCGCUCACUCUCUCUCACCCUUCUCAUUCACGUUUCUUUUCUCUUCUCCCACAGCACCUCCUUCUUCUUCAGUUUAUUCCUCCUGCAACAAUACCACCAUCAUAGAGCCUUUCCUGCACUCAACACCACCACCACGUCCCAAAACCGCGAGCACCACCACCUCCAUGCCUCCUUCACGCAACAACUACCACUGUCCCUGUUCUGUUUUUCUUCUCCAUGAGGGUCACCACCAAAACCCUAGCCGCCACCUUCAAAGCCCGAUCUCCGGCGAACCAUUAAUUUUUUGGAGAAACUGACAUCACCACUGAACUCUCCUCAUCAUCCGCAACAAAACCCCUCCAUCGAUUCGAUGAUCGGCCCCCGUGACUCCGGCGACCGCCGCCGCCGCCGUCUUCUCCGGCGAGUUCUAUUCUGAGAAAGGAGGCCAAUUUCUUGAAGCUUUCGACCUCGUCUUUCCAAAUCCAAAGUCAGAUCAUUGUUUAGAGUUUCAAUGGCUACUGGAGGAAAGGGAGAGCACGACCAGACCAGAGGAAGAGAAGCUCAGUCCCAUGACCAUGAGACUUGAGGUAGAAGGAGAAAGACAUGAACUUUGUGCUUAAAAGUUUUGUAUCAAUAGGGUCCCUUAUGUGUCUGAUGUGUGUGGUGUGAGUUAGUGUUUUGGUUGUCCAAUUGCAAAGGGUAUGAGAAUUUCAAUUGUAUUAGUUCUUUAGUCCUUACUGUAUUAUACAUGAUAGAUUUUAUGAGGAGAGGAAAAUAGGAUUUUAGCUUAUCCAGGUGUUAACUAAUUAAGUUGGAAAAUGGAAAAUUUGGCAUUUAACUUUUGAAAGAGAACUUCUUAUAAUUCGUUUUGUUUUGCUUAGACAGUUUUGGUAUAGCACUUGAAAAUACAUGUCUUCAUGUACCUUUGAUGAUUGUAUCAAAAAUACUUUAAAAUAAGAAUAGUUCUUUGCAA